AUUCCAGCUCCAAUAGCGUAUAUUAAUGUUGCUGCAGUUAAAAAGCUCGUAGUUGGAUUUCUGGUAUGAUGCGCCUGGUCCGCCCCGUUUAGGUGUGUGAGUACCGGUGCGCGUCUGCCAUCCUUCUAGAGAGCGUGUCUACCCUUCACUGGGCCGGGCACGUCAUCUGGAUCGUUUACUUUGAAAAAAUUAGAGUGUUUCAAGCAGGCAUACUCGCUUUGAAUACAUUAGCAUGGAAUAAUAAGAUAGGACUUGGGUUCUAUUUUGUUGGUUUCUAGGACCGAAGUAAUGAUUGAUAGGGACAGUUGGGGGUGCUAGUAUUCCACGGCCAGAGGUGAAAUUCUUGGAUUCGUGGAAGACUAACUAAUGCGAAAGCAUUCACCAAGGAUGUCUUCAUUG
rnacentral:rRNA from 1 species